GUGAUGUCACAGUUACUUGGAUUACUGGAGGUAAUUCUUAGAGCUAAUACAUGCAACAAAACCCGACUCACGGAGGGUUGCUUUUAUUAUAUCAAAACCAAACGGCUUCUGCUGUCUCCCUUGUGGCCAUUGAAAAUAUUGGGCCUGAUAGCAUGGCCUUGUGGCCCCGCUAUUUUUCCUUCAACUUUCCCACCUAUCCUGUUCAACUGUGAAAGGUAUGAUCACUGCUUACUUGACUGAUAACGGGUAAUCGGGAUUCUUCCCCCGAGGGGGACUAAAAAACACGGCCACCAUCUACGGAAGGCGCAGGGGGCACCAAUUACCCAAUGUGCCCAAGCCCCGGUGUUGUGAAAAAAAACCAAUAUUGGACACUCCCGAGACCCCCUAUUUGUGGUAAGUGCACUUUUUAACCUUUCCCCCGAAUAUCUAGGAGGGGGUGUCUGGUA
rnacentral:rRNA from 1 species